UACGAAGGGGGCUAGCGUUGCUCGGAAUCACUGGGCGUAAAGGGUGCGUAGGCGGGUUUUUAAGUCAGGGGUGAAAUCCUGGAGCUCAACUCCAGAACUGCCUUUGAUACUGAAGAUCUUGAGUUCGGGAGAGGUGAGUGGAACUGCGAGUGUAGAGGUGAAAUUCGUAGAUAUUCGCACGAACACCAGUGGCGAAGGCGGCUCACUGGCCCGAUACUGACGCUGAGGCACGAAAGCGUGGGGAGCAAACAGG
rnacentral:rRNA from 1 species